rnacentral:rRNA from 1 species
AGUAACGCGUGAGGAGCCUGCCUCAAAGAGGGGGACAACAGUUGGAAACGACUGCUAAUACCGCAUAAGCCCACGGCUCGGCAUCGAGCAGAGGGAAAAGGAGCAAUCCGCUUUGAGAUGGCCUCGCGUCCGAUUAGCUAGUUGGUGAGGUAAUGGCCCACCAAGGCGACGAUCGGUAGCCGGACUGAGAGGUUGAACGGCCACAUUGGGACUGAGACACGGCCCAG